rnacentral:tRNA from 1 species
GGGCCACUAGCUCAGGUGGUAGAGCACUUGACUUUUAAUCAGGUUGUCUCGGGUUCGAGUCCCGAGUGGCUCA